AGAGUUUGAUCAUGGCUCAGAUUGAACGCUGGCGGCAGGCCUAACACAUGCAAGUCGAACGGUAACAGGAAACAGCUUGCUGUUUCGCUGACGAGUGGCGGACGGGUGAGUAAUGUCUGGGAAACUGCCUGAUGGAGGGGGAUAACUACUGGAAACGGUAGCUAAUACCGCAUAACGUCGCAAGACCAAAGAGGGGGACCCUCGGGCCUCUUGCCAUCGGAUGUGCCCAGAUGGGAUUAGCUUGUUGGUGGGGUAACGGCUCACCAAGGCGACGAUCCCUAGCUGGUCUGAGAGGAUGACCAGCCACACUGGAACUGAGACACGGUCCAGACUCCUACGGGAGGCAGCAGUGGGGAAUAUUGCACAAUGGGCGCAAGCCUGAUGCAGCCAUGCCGCGUGUAUGAAGAAGGCCUUCGGGUUGUAAAGUACUUUCAGCGGGGAGGAAGGGAGUAAAGUUAAUACCUUUGCUCAUUGACGUUACCCGCAGAAGAAGCACCGGCUAACUCCGUGCCAGCAGCCGCGGUAAUACGGAGGGUGCAAGCGUUAAUCGGAAUUACUGGGCGUAAAGCGCACGCAGGCGGUUUGUUAAGUCAGAUGUGAAAUCCCCGGGCUCAACCUGGGAACUGCAUCUGAUACUGGCAAGCUUGAGUCUCGUAGAGGGGGGUAGAAUUCCAGGUGUAGCGGUGAAAUGCGUAGAGAUCUGGAGGAAUACCGGUGGCGAAGGCGGCCCCCUGGACGAAGACUGACGCUCAGGUGCGAAAGCGUGGGGAGCAAACAGGAUUAGAUACCCUGGUAGUCCACGCCGUAAACGAUGUCGACUUGGAGGUUGUGCCCUUGAGGCGUGGCUUCCGGAGCUAACGCGUUAAGUCGACCGCCUGGGGAGUACGGCCGCAAGGUUAAAACUCAAAUGAAUUGACGGGGGCCCGCACAAGCGGUGGAGCAUGUGGUUUAAUUCGAUGCAACGCGAAGAACCUUACCUGGUCUUGACAUCCACGGAAGUUUUCAGAGAUGAGAAUGUGCCUUCGGGAACCGUGAGACAGGUGCUGCAUGGCUGUCGUCAGCUCGUGUUGUGAAAUGUUGGGUUAAGUCCCGCAACGAGCGCAACCCUUAUCCUUUGUUGCCAGCGGUCCGGCCGGGAACUCAAAGGAGACUGCCAGUGAUAAACUGGAGGAAGGUGGGGAUGACGUCAAGUCAUCAUGGCCCUUACGACCAGGGCUACACACGUGCUACAAUGGCGCAUACAAAGAGAAGCGACCUCGCGAGAGCAAGCGGACCUCAUAAAGUGCGUCGUAGUCCGGAUUGGAGUCUGCAACUCGACUCCAUGAAGUCGGAAUCGCUAGUAAUCGUGGAUCAGAAUGCCACGGUGAAUACGUUCCCGGGGCCUUGUACACACCGCCCGUCACACCAUGGGAGUGGGUUGCAAAAGAAGUAGGUAGCUUAACCUUCGGGAGGGCGCUUACCACUUUGUGAUUCAUGACUGGGGUGAAGUCGGAACAAGGUAACCGUAGGGGAACCUGCGGUUG
rnacentral:rRNA from 1 species